GACGAAUGCUGGCGGCGUGCCUAAUACAUGCAAGUAGAACGCUGAAGGAGGAGCUUGCUUCUCUGGAUGAGUUGCGAACGGGUGAGUAACGCGUAGGUAACCUGCCUGGUAGCGGGGGAUAACUAUUGGAAACGAUAGCUAAUACCGCAUAAGAGUAGAUGCUGCAUGACAUUUGCUUAAAAGGUGCAAUUGCAUCACUACCAGAUGGACCUGCGUUGUAUUAGCUAGUUGGUGGGGUAGCGGCUCACCAAGGCGACGAUACAUAGCCGACCUGAGAGGGGGAUCGGCCACCCUGGGACUGAGACACGCCCCAGACUCCUACAGGAGGCAGCAGUAGGGAAUCGUCGGCAAUGGACGGAAGUCUGACCGAGCAACGCCGCGUGCGUGAAGAAGGUUUUCGGGUCGUAAAGCUCUGUUGUAAGGGAAGAACGAGUGUGAGAGUGGAAAGUUCACACUGUGACGGUAUCUUACCAGAAAGGGACGGCUAACUACGUG
rnacentral:rRNA from 1 species